GACGAACGCUGGCGGCGUGCCUAACACAUGCAAGUCGAACGGAACUGCUUCGAAGGAUUUCUUCGGAAUGACAUUGAUUCAGUUUAGUGGCGGACGGGUGAGUAACGCGUGAGUAACCUGCCUUCAAGAGGGGGAUAACAUUCUGAAAAGAAUGCUAAUACCGCAUGACAUAUGAUUGUCGCAUGGCAGAUAUAUCAAAGAUUUAUCGCUUGAAGAUGGACUCGCGUCUGAUUAGUUAGUUGGUGAGGUAACGGCCCGACCAAGACCGCGAUCGGUAGCCGGACUGAGAGGUUGAACGGCCGACAUUGGGACUGAGACACGGCCCAGACUCCUACGGGAGGCAGCAGUGGGGGAUAUUGCGCAAUGGGGGAAACCCUGAUGCAGCGACGCCGCGUGAGCGAAGAAGAUUUCGGAUGUAAAGCUCUA
rnacentral:rRNA from 1 species